CCCGAGACUAGAGUCACAUGCUGGGCGUACCGUGCCCUGGGUGUGCUAGAGUCCUCGGAGAUCAAUCACUGCGCUUUAUUCACUGGUUGGCCCUCGCUGUGGCGCAGCCAGUCACCGGCUCAGUGACAUUU